GACGAACGCUGGCGGCGUGCUUAACACAUGCAAGUCGAACGGAAAGGCUCCAGCUUGCUGGAGUACUCGAGUGGCGAACGGGUGAGUAACACGUGGGUGAUCUGCCCUGCACUUCGGGAUAAGCCUGGGAAACUGGGUCUAAUACCGGAUAGGACCGCACUUUGGUGUGUGUGGUGGAAAGGUUUUUCUGGUGUGGGAUGAGCUCGCGGCCUAUCAGUUUGUUGGUGGGGUAAUGGCCUACCAAGACGGCGACGGGUAGCCGGCCUGAGAGGGUGGACGGUCACAUUUGGACUGGGAUACGGCCCAGGCUCCUACGGGGGGCAGCAGGGGGGAAUAUUGGACAAUGGGGGGAACCCCGAUGCAGCGACGCCGCGUGGGGGAUGAAGGGCUUCGGGUUGGAAACCCCUUUCGCUAGGGAACAAGCUUUUUGUGACGGUACCUGGAGAAGAAGCACCGGCUAACUACGUG
rnacentral:rRNA from 1 species